CCUACGGGAGGCAGCAGUGAGGAAUAUUGGUCAAUGGGCGCGAGCCUGAACCAGCCAAGUCGCGUGAGGGAGGACGGCCCUACGGGUUGUAAACCUCUUUUGCCGGGGAGCAACGGGCGCCACGUGUGGCGUCACUGAGAGUACCCGGCGAAAAAGCAUCGGAUAACUCGGUGCCAGCAGCCGCGGUAAUAGGGAGGAUGCGGGCGUUAUCCGGUUUUAUUGGGUUUAAGGGGUGCGUGGGCGGAUCGUUACGUCAGUGGUAAAUUUGAGGGGCUAAACCCCUUCCCGCCAUUGAAACUGGCGUUCUUGAGUGGAAGAGAAGAGUGCGGAAUGCGUGGUGUAGCGGUGAAAUGCAUAGAUAUCACGCAGAACCCCGAUUGCGAAGGCAGCAUGCCGGCUUCCGACUGACGCUGAGGCACGAAAGCGUGGGGAUCGAACAGGAUUAGAUACCCCAGUAGUC
rnacentral:rRNA from 1 species